CUCUUCCUCCUGCUACUGCCAUGUGAGAUACCUGCCCCUACUUUGCCUUCUUCCAUGAUUGGAAGCUUCCUGAGGCCACCCCAGAGUCAGAAGCCGCUAUGCUUCCUGGACAGCUUGCAGAACCAGUAUUCACUGACUGCUGAAACUAGAGCAUCACUGAGAAGCAAGAGAUAGACUGACCUAACUAGAGGGAGAGCUGCCAUCCAGGAUGAUGCCACCAUCACAGGAGGUGAGAAGGAACACAGCAUCUUCUGCAAAUGCUACAGUAAAUAGGGACGGGGUGCAGCAAUGUGAGGAAAGUGGAAUGAACUUGGACUUUGAAGGCAAACUAACCUGGAAUCAAAUACUGGCUCUGCUGUUUGCAAGUGUGAUCUUUGGGUAUGCUUCCUAAUCUGUGAGCUUCAACUUCCUCCUCUGUAAACCAAGAUCAAAGACAAACAGGGAAACCUACUUGUCUGGUGCCCAUCCCCUUGGCAGAACACUCCUCUGAAGGAUGACAGUUUGGCUGUGCCAGGGCAGAGCUGCCGACACCAAAUGAGCCUUCAUAGCAACUAUCUGAUGAGGAACUCACUGGCCUACCUUUCCUUGA
ensembl:lncRNA KILH KRT19 interacting long noncoding RNA in hepatocellular carcinoma